AUGACGAUUGCCACUAGGGGCCAGGGAGUUGGCAUAGACCCUCCCGAAAGCCAGCAAAAUACACAAAUGCACAGUCCACCAGGUCCGCAACAAUUGGCUGACACCAUGUCGGGACUUCAACUCACUGAGAAUGUGGUACAAACAGAAUGCAACAAUGACGCUAUUGCUACAGUGGAAGAUAGCAGUCAGCUUCAUGGAGAACCUGAUUUUCCUAUUUCCAAACUUAAUAUGCUUCAUGAAAAGAUAUCUAGUCCACGAUGGGUUGUACCAGUUCUACCCGAACAAGAAUUAGAGUGCCUGUUACAAGCCAGUAUCGAACUUUGUAAAAAAGGAAUUGAUGUACAAAGCGAAGCGUGUCAACGCUUUUUUCGAGAAGGUCUCACAAUCUCAUUUACUAAGAUAUUAACAGAUGAUGCGGUAAACAGUUGGAAAUUAAAUAUUCACAAUUGUAUUAAUGCUAAUUGUGCACGUUUGGUGGAACUAUGUGUCCUAAAAUUAGAUGAAGAUUGGUUUCCUCUACUUGAUUUAUUGGCAAUGGUUUUUAAUCCUAGUAAUAAAUUUCACACAUUUAAUGCAGUAAGAGCUUCUGAAACGGUUCCUCCUGGUAGCGAUAUUCCUGAUGAGGAACUUUAUGCUCGCCCACCACCCGAUUCGCGUAGUCCUCGUGGUUGGCUGGUAGAUCUUAUAAACAGAUUCGGGAGUCUCAAUGGAUUUGAAAUUUUGCUCUCUAGAUUUCAGAGUGGACGUAAUUUAACAGUGCCAGUUAUUUAUGCUUUAAUCAGACCUUUUGGCUUAUGUUAUGAACUAUUGACUGUUCAUACAAUAGUUAAAUAUUUGAUGCCUAUUGUUGAAAUGGUACCUCUUAUUUUGAAUAACUUAACUGAUGAUGAGUUGAAAAAGGAGGCGAAAAACGAAUCAAAAAACGACGCAAUAUCAGCCAUAAUCAAAGCCGCUAAAUGCUUGGUGUCACGAGUACCUCAUCAGGAAGAAAUGAUAAAGAACUUGGAAAUACUGAGACUGAAAAUGAUAUUGAGACUCUUACAAAUUUCUUCUUUUAAUGGGAAGAUGAAUGCUUUAAAUGAAGUUAAUAAAGUAAUAUCUAGUGUUAGUUAUCAUCAACAUCGUAAUACAAUAGUGGAGGAGGAAGAAUGGCUUACAGCAGAGCGUAUGGCAAAAUGGAUUAAAGACAAUGGUGUAUUGGAAAUUGUACUGAGAGAUUCAUUGCAUCAGCCUCAAUAUGUCGAAAAACUGGAGAAAAUUUUACGUUUUAUUAUAAAAGAACGUGCACUUACAUUAGAAGACUUGGAUGCUGUUUGGGCGGCUCAAGCCGGUAAACACGAGGCGAUUGUGAAAAACGUUCAUGAUUUGUUAGCUAAAUUAGCUUGGGAUUUUAGUCCUGAACAACUUGACCAUUUAUUUGAGUGUUUUCAGACAAGUUGGAGGACUGCUAAUAAAAAACAACGGGAAAAAUUAUUAGAAUUGAUUAGGAGACUCGCGGAGGAUGAUAAGGAUGGCGUUAUGGCACAUAAGGUGUUGACACUUUUUUGGACUUUGGCUCAUUCUGAUGAAGUCCCUACAGAAAUUAUGGAUCAGGCGUUGAAUGCUCAUGUAAAGAUUCUUGAUUACUCAUGUUCGCAAGAAAGAGACGCGCAGAAGACAAUCUGGCUGGAUAAGUGUGUUGAAGAAUUGAAAAAUGGCGAUAAGUGGGCUCUUCCUGCAUUAAAGCAAAUUCGUGAAAUAUGUUGCCUUUAUGAACCAAAUCCCAAUUUGGGUCAUAGUCAACGUAGUCAUCAUUUGCAUUACAGGCAAGAAGUAAUUGAGCGUUUACAAAGCGAACAUUCAGUAGUGAUACUUGUAACAAAUAGUUUAACAAAUUAUAUGGAUAAAGUGCGACAAUUGGUAAAGGAAAAUCCUGAAAUCGAUGCGAAUACUUUUAUGCCUGAUGGUCGAUACAAUCACAUUAUGCAAGUGCAAGAAAGAUUGAAUUUUUUGCGUUUUCUUCUAAAGGAUGGACAAUUAUGGUUAUGCGCCGAUCAAGCAGAGCAGAUUUGGCAAUGUUUAGCCGAACAAGGUGUAUUUGUUUCGGAUCGUGAGGCGUGCUUUAAAUGGUUUUCCAAGCUUAUGGGAGACGAGCCAGAUCUAGAUCCAGCAAUAAACAAAGACUUUUUCCAAAAUAAUAUACUGCAAUUAGAUCCGACAUUACUUACAGAAAGCGGUAUUAAAUGUUACGAGAGAUUUUUUAAAGCUGUAAAUUCUAAGGAAGGAAAAUUGAAACUGAAACGUAGAACAUUUCUCAUGGAUGAUGUGGAUUUAAUUGGGACUGAUUAUUUGUGGAGAGUAGUAACAAAUAGUCCAGAGGAAAUUGCAAACAGAGGUAUAGAACUCUUAAAGGAAGUGAAUACCAAUUUAGGACCGCGACUACACUCGUCUGUUUUGGCAUUUCAUGAAACAUAUAUAGCGGAAUGUAUGGACAGACUGAAAGCUCAUUAUGAUACUGUGACUGUUUUAAGCAGAGUAUAUUUGGAGGGAAAAGAUGAACGCGAAGAACAAAUGACAAAUAAAAUUAAAAUGGAAGCCAUAAAAAUGUGUCGCGUUAUGAAAGUUUUGCAGGAAUAUAUAAAUGAAUGCGAUACAGCUUUCCCAGGGGAACGGAAAAUAUUACCAUUGCAUAGAGCAGCUCGUGGCAAGCAUCUGUCACUUGUCAUUCGUUUUGCGAGUCCCGGACGAAACGUCGAUGACAUAGAUAUCUUCACGCAUAGUAAUGACACAUUAGCUUCAUUGAGACGUCAGAUAUUACGUAGGAUUAAAGCAAGCGGGACGAAUGUGAAACUCGAUUUAUUUAUUAAUGGAGAUUCGCUGGAACAGUCCGAUGAUAGGAAACUCCUUUCUCAGAUUCCAUUGAGGGACAAAAUGUUGUUAUCUGCAAAGCUAAGUCAAGUAAAUAGCAAUAUGCCGAGCUCACCGGAUAGUAGCUCUGAUAGCUCUACUAGUUCCCCGCACCAUCCAUACGACGGGUUGAAUGUAGAGGCAGAGAACAGUUUGCCCGGUGUGGUUAUGUCGCAGAGAUCGCAAUACGCGACAUUCUUUUUUCAAUUGGCAGAUCUUGGCUGUUCGCUUCCACAUUCGCAAUUGCGUGAUGGUGCGCGAAAUCUCUUACAAUUGGUGCCGCCAGAUACCUAUACUGUAACAAGAUUACAAUGGUUAUUUGGUCAUUACAAAGACGACGAAGCUUUACAGAACCCCUCUCAGUAUCAUUGUAACGAGCAGAAUACGACGGUAGAUUCUCUAUUUUUUACUGCGAGUCCUAGCCAAGUUUUAUACAAUUUAGAGGUGUUGUAUACUUUGUUAAUGCCGGCUCUCGACCCUAUGUCGGACAGAGCGUUUGAAUUUCAAUAUAAUUUCAUAAAAAGUGGCGAAGCGGGCGUUAUCCUCGAUAUGCUAACCAAAAACAAAUUUUUACCAAAUGCGGAUGAAACUACGAAACGCUCGGCGUAUCUAACGGUGCUGAGACUGUGUAAACUGCUUUUGACAGUGAUGGGUAAUGUGAUGGCUUGCGUGAUGGACGAGGUUCAACAAACUGGAACUCCGGAGAAUCACGAUAAUCACGUUAACAAUCGCGGUCGAGUAGCGGUACUGAAACAGGCUCUUCAGAGUGUACCGAAUCAAAGUACCGAGUACAUGUUGAGAAGCGUAGCGGCUAAACUGGCGCAACCUCUGUCCCAUCGAAUGCUGUCUGGCGGGCCAGAAGCCGAUCGAUGUCGGCAGCUCUUUGUGCAGGCCCUUUCGUGGGAAUUACCGGAUGUGGCUACUAUACGUGCCAUAAUUAGAUUAGCGUGGGCCGCAUCCACGGGUAACUUGAACAACAUUAACGCAUCGAACGAGAUUCUUCACUCGACGCACGAGAUCAAUCAGAAAGAACAGAGAAAUCCCGAUAAUAACGAUGUUCUUGUGUGUAAGGAAGCGCUUGAAGUACUGACAAUCGCCCUUGUGUUGAAUCCAUCGGCGUUAGAAACAUUAUCGCGUGACAAAAUAUGGCAUACCUUCCUGAUAGACUUGGUGCUACUUAGUACGUCGAGGGCCAUUAGAAUUGCCGCUGGCGAACAGUUUUUUCUUAUCUCGACAUGGUGCAGUGGCGGACAUCAGACACUAUUAGUCACCAUAACUCUUCUCUUCGCCGUUUUAAAUACCAUCGUUACGGAAAACGCGAAACAGAGUCAUGAAUAUUUUCAGCUUUUGUGCCGACUAUUGAACUUUACGCAUAUGUCAGGUUGUUCUUUGGCAACCGCGGAAACGUUAUUAAACGUAGAAAUUGCCUGGUUGAAGAAAGUUCGGGACAAUAUGAAAGAAACUGGAGAAACUCAGGUAGACGAAGCCUUACUCGAGGGUCACCUCGGUCUAACCAAGGAACUGCUGGCCUUUUUGCCACCUCACCAAAAAUAUGAGAUCGGCUCCGACGAAAAGCACGGAAUUAACUUGAUCAAGGAGUUGGUCGAAGACUUUGUGUUCCCUGCGUCUCGCCUGAUGCUGCAGCUUCGUAGUACUGGCGAAUUGAGCCCAUCGCAAGCGUGUCCGGUUUGCAGCACUCCUCAAUCGACUAGCGCCGCGUUCGACUUGCUCGUAGGUCUUUGCGUAGGCUGUGUACCCAACAUGAAACUUCUAGUCACAAUGCUCACCGACAUGUUCUACUCCGAGAAGGACGAACCGUUAGCAGAAUGGGAUUAUUUACCGCCUGUGGGACAUAGGCCACUUAAAGGCUUCGUAGGCUUGAAGAAUGCGGGAGCAACUUGCUACAUGAAUUCAGUAUUACAGCAAUUGUACAUGGUGGAGAGUAUUAGAGUCGGACUUUUGGCAGCGGAGGGCGCGGCGACUGAUUUAAAUGAGGAUUUCUCGGGCGAGGAGAGGAUUGAAGGGGAGCAAACAAUCGAGACGAACGACAAUGAUACGAAUGAAGAAAAAUGCGGUGCCGAUGAAUCUAGAAAAGAAUAUAAUAUCGGUAUUUUAAAACAAGUACAAGCGAUAUUUGGUCACUUGGCUUAUAGCAAAUUACAAUAUUACAUACCUAGAGGAUUAUGGAAGCAUUUCAAGCUUCAAGGAGAACCUGUAAAUCUUAGAGAACAACAGGACGCGGUAGAAUUUUUCAUGAGUCUGGUAGAGAGUUUAGACGAGGCAUUGAAAGCCUUGGGACACGAGCAGAUAAUGGGCAAGAUUCUUGGUGGCUCGUAUAGCGACCAGAAAAUCUGCAAAGGUUGCCCUCAUAGAUAUUCCAAAGAGGAACCAUUCAGCGUGAUAAGUGUGGACAUACGGAAUCAUAGUAAUUUAUUGGAUUCUCUUGAGCAAUACGUAAAGGGUGAAUUGCUAGAAGGUGCAGACGCCUAUCAUUGUGAUAAGUGUAACAAAAAAGUCGUAACAGUGAAAAGGUUGUGCGUAAAAAAACUGCCACCCAUCUUAGCGAUUCAAUUGAAAAGAUUCGAAUAUGAUUUUGAACGCGUAUGCGCCAUAAAAUUCAACGAUUAUUUCGAGUUUCCGCGAGAUCUGGAUAUGGAACCUUAUACUGUUUCUGGUUUAGCCAAACUGGAGGGAGAAGUCAUAGAUUGUGAUUAUGAGGAAUCUGUGAAAGGAACAUGCACGAAAUAUCAAUUAACUGGCAUAGUGGUUCAUAGUGGUCAGGCUAGCGGUGGCCAUUACUACUCUUACAUCCUGCAUAGGUUAAACGAUGGUACUGCCAAGUGGUACAAGUUCGAUGAUGGCGAUGUGACGGAAUGUAAAAUGGAGGAGGAGGAAGAAAUGAAAUCUCAAUGUUUCGGCGGUGAUUAUUUAGGAGAAGUGUUUGAUCAUAUGCUCAAGCGGAUGAGUUACCGCAAACAGAAACGAUGGUGGAACGCAUACAUGUUAUUUUAUACAAGACUAGAUGUAGAAGAGAAUUCUCUAAUGAAGAGUGUAAAUGAAUUGUCAUUGUAUACGAAACUAGGAGUUAUGAAAAUGCCACCGGCAAUAGAAUAUAGCGUGCGGAAGCAGAAUAUAAAAUUUAUGCAUCAUCGAAAUCAAUUUAGUGCCGAAUACUUUCAAUUUAUCAAAAAAUUGGUAUUCUGUAAUCCACAUAAUAUUAACAGACAGAAUCUGAAUGAGAAACUUAGUCCCGAUGCGGAAGAACUUGCGAUGCUGUCGAUUCAGUUAGCAUCGAGAUUUCUCUUCUAUACAGGUUUUCACACUAAAAAAACAUUACGCGGAACGGCGACAGAUUGGUAUGACAUUAUAUGCCAUCAUUUGCGAAGCACUAAAUCAGUGCGUUCUUGGUUCGCCAAUGAAGUAUUAUUUAAUCAUCCGCAUAGAUUUUGUGAAUACCUCUUGAGUUGCCCGAGUACGGAAGUACGCACUGCUUUUCUCAAGAUUUUGGUAUUCCUUGCACACGUUUCUCUACAGGAUGGCCCAUGCGCUCCACCUAGCCUAAAUGCACCGACUAUACUCUUGGAUCCGGUAGCAACCCUCAGCGAUCAUCUGUUACACGCGGUACUAUCGUUACUGCACCGCGAAAUUUCAGAUCACGGGCGUCAUCUUCCUCAUUAUUUUUCCCUCUUUCACGCCUACGCUUCACUCGGCCUUGCCGAGAAGGCGCAAUUGCUUAAGCUGAAUGUCCCAGUUACAUUCAUGUUGGUUGCCAUUGAUGAAGGACCGGGUCCUACUAUAAAGUAUCAGUAUCCCGAAUUGACUAAAUUGCAUCAAGUGGUAAGCAUGUUGAUACGGUGCUGCGAUGUGUCGUCGAAAGCGCAUUCGAGUCAGACGCAAACCCGUGCAGAACCCUUACCAAAUCCGUACGGAGAUCCCGCGUGUCAAUCAGAAUAUCUUAUGCCCAUCCAACCGCAAGCAGCUGAUAUAUUAUUUGUCCGUACUAGUUACAUCAAAAAAUUGAUCGAAGACGCUAAUGUGACUGAAGACACUAUCAAAUUAUUGCAAUAUUGUUGUUGGGAGAAUCCACACUUAUCGCGAACGGUGCUUAGUGAACUACUGUGGCAAAUAGGUUUUGCAUAUACUCAUGAGUUGAGGCAUCACACAGAUCUGCUACUUACGAUAUUAUUAAUGGAAGAUUCGUGGCAGACACAUCGCGUGCACAAUGCGCUCAAGGGAGUUCCUGAUGAGCGAGAAGGUUUAUUCGAAACGAUCCAAAGAAGUAAAAACCAUUAUCAAAAGAGGGCUUACCAAUGUAUUAAAUGCAUGGUACAACUUUUUAGUAAAUGUAGACCUGCCCAUCAGCUUUUACAUCAUAGUCCAGAACUAAAAAGAAAAUGGAGUCAUGCCAUAGAUUGGCUCCAUGACGAACUCGACAAAAGACCAUAUGCCUCCACGGCGCCUUAUACACAUGCGUACAAUAACUGGUCUCCGCCAGCACAAUCCAAUGAUUCUGCGAAUGGGUAUGUCCUGGAACGUAGCAAUAGCGCCAGAAAGACAUUGGAGCGAGCGUGCGAAUUAUGUCCCGAUGAUGAGCCAGAAGUUGAAGACACGAGCGAGGAUUGCGCGGAAGAAUCUGAUAAAUGUGUGUUGCAGAAUAUCAAUUCAUAUAGAAUGAAUAUUUUUCCCGAAGCAAAAUAUUCCGAAUCAACAAAACAUUCAUUCCAUUCAACAAAAUAUUCAUCAUUUAAAAGGCGUAAUAACAGAGCCUUAGGAUGGGCAUCUAUGGAUUAUCCCGAUUUUACCGUAAUUCAACAAAUGCAAGAAGAACAACAGCCCCAACCAGGACCUUCUCCAGUACACACACCCCACUUAGCGCUUCAAAUGCAUAAUCCGCAAAACUGUGAGUCGUCACAAAAUACCAGUCAGGAUCCAUAAUGAAUGUUGAACACUGAUGUUCUACCAAGUUGCUGCCUCAGUGAAAUGAUUUCAGAAUACUUAGAUAUUAUAACUGCGCCAGAAGCUUGGUGGCGAACAGUAGCAGCAUAUGUACAGAUAUAACAAGUGAGGGUUUGUCUUUUUUUAGUGACCUUUAAUAAAUUCGUGCUAAUCUCUUAGUUUCAUUGUGGGUAGUUAUUUUGAUAAUGUGACGCGCUAUAAAUGUUCGAAUCGCAAAUGAAGAAACGAAAUGGGAAACGAUUCUGACUGAGAACUGAAUUAACGCAUGCUGGUUGAGGCAAUCAAUUCUCAACAAGGUUUUUUCCUCCUUAAUCUUGACAUUGUUCAUCAUUCUGUUUGUGUCUCCCGACAACUGUUUGGCUUCCAAUUCUAGAAGUGACGAUUUGACAAAGGAAAAGAAAUAUAUAAAGAUGCGCGCGCUUUCUCUCACUCUCUCUCUUUCUCUUUCUCUCUCUCUUUGAGGGAGUUUGAUAAAACUACAGUACAGCUAAGAGUUUUAUUAAAACUACAGCUAAGAGUUUCAUUUGCCUCGAUUAAUGCAUGUCGAUUCAAGCUUAAUGAAUACCAUAAGAUUGUAUAAAUGUAUAGCAUAGUGUUACGAAUCCCAUUCUCUGCCGAUUAGAAAACAAGAGUAUAAACCAUAAUUUUCCGUAUGCCUAUGUAAAUUUGUUAUUAAUACAAAGAAAAGUUGAAAUAGAACUUUCUAAUGAUCGAAAGAUACAAUUACAAAAAAAUAAAAAAGAGAGAAACGAGCUAGUAUAUUCUCAUCUUAUUCAAAGAAAGCACAGUUUUCACGAAGCUAUGCUCUAACAUAUGUAUGUAUGUGUAUACAUAUAUAUAUGCAUAUAUACAUAUAUUUUGUAUGUAUGUAUGUAUGUAUGUAUGUAUUUAUGUGCAUAUAGUUAUGUGCUAUAUAUGUAUAACAUAGCUUUUGCUAUUUAAUCUUUUAAUAACAAUAAAAGAAUUCUUCUUGUACUUAACAAACUCGAGCAUUCUGGAAGAAAGACACUUAUCUGGCGGCCUGCCGUGCUGCUAAAAUUUCAACAAAUGCCAAUGAUGCCUCCUGUUGUGCUUUCUUUCAGUUCGACCGAUUUGAAAGAGUUGUGCCUUCGACAUUGUGCGACUCCAUUGUACUUUUAGGUAGAUAUUUAAGAAUCAAGUUGUUGCUUCAAAUUUAAUUGCUUAUACUUCGCUUGUUGAGUUGACUAUGAAAAAGAAAGGGGAAAAAAAACUAGAAGUUUAUCAGGAAAUUUGCGUGAGACUCGAUAUAAUAUUUAUCGAGAGAUUAAUGCAAUCGUUAAAACGUAUUUCAGAACCUGAAACGUAAUUGCUGCGGGCCAUUUUAAUUUAUCAUGACGCACGCAUAUACGUUAAUAAAUACGAUAUCGAGUUAUCCAAAGGAUAAUCGUUUAAGAAUGAAAACAUUGUCCUAAUUCGCAGCGCAAAUUUUUACGAAGAAAAGGAAUUGAAAAAACCCGUGACGCAAGUAAUAAAACGCAAAGAGGAUAUGGAGCAAACAAAUAGCUAGUUUGUAUCGUUGUAUGGUACGACCUAUAUCGUUGAUAGGACGAUGUGAUCUUUUCGCAAAAAUUGCGAAAAUGAUCAUCAUUUUGAUAAAAUCGUCCGGCAUACUACAAGAGUAACAGAAAAGUAUUCUACGAGAAAGAAUAAGAAAUAUAAACACACGGAGAACGACAAAGUGACGAACGAUCUUUGAAUUUAUCAACUGGCCAUUGCUCUGACUUAUUGAAUAAAGAAAGGAACGUGUGUGUGUAUUAUAUAUAGAAUAUUAUAAAAAUAAUCUUAAAAGAAGAAAAAAAGAGAAUUAAAAUCACAUGUAACGUGGAAAUAAACAAGCAGUGUGUAUAAUAAGAUUUCGUGCGAAAAACCAACGACUAUGUCAAGACACCAGGAAAUAAUGAAACGUAUUGAUUAUUAUUGUUCGUAUUUAUCGAAUAACCGAGUUAAACACAGUGUACCAAAUUAUAUAAUAGCUUCUAUUAGUUAAAAAUAAUAAUGGUACCUAAUCUUACUCAGACAUGUACAUAUAUAGACAUUACACAGACAACCGCUUUUUAUAUGUGAUAAAAAAAUUAUUAUAUUCCUAUUAUAUAUACAUUGAGAUUUAAAAAAAACGCUAUUGUAAAUCCUGGUUUUUGUACACAGACUGUAUGCUAAGUUCAAUUUUGUUAACACGAGAUGUAGUCUAAUUAUUUAAUAUUUAAUUUUAUCCCUGCUAAAUAAUAAGCGAGUAUAAUAUCGUGUAUAAAAGAUAUUUCAUUUUCUUCUUUUUUUUUUAAUUAUUCGAGAGAUUCACAAAAACUGGAAGUGUCAUGAUACUAGUGUCAUUUAUCUUAUGCGUGGUAAUAGAAAUAAGGGAGACAAGCUGUGUACGAUAGCCGAGCGCGUAUUAUAUACGUAAUAUAAGAUCGGAAUCGUCGUUUUUUUGCCAUCAGAUGAGAUAGCGCUCGGCGUUGUAAUAUAAAAAAAAAGAAGGAGGAAGAGAGAUACGCAAGGGACAGUAGAGAUUGCGACGGAAUGUCAUUUUCCUGCGUACAUAUAUCAUUUAAGAUUAGUGUAAUUUCACUGAAUAUAGAUUUCGAGGAUGCUACAGACACAAAGCGAAAAAUCGCCUCUUGUAUUUUUGCGAAAAUAAUGAAACGUAUUUAUAUUGGAAAUUUGAACUCACCGAAAUUAUACUGAUUCCUACAAUGCUUGUGUACGUAAUAAAGUAAAGGGAGGAGAGGAACGAAAGAAAGGAUUGUGCACCAAUUUUAUGGUAUGCGUGAUCCCAUCUCGCAGAUAUAAUUGACGAAGCAUAAAAUUUAUUAAUUACGUUAUUGUUCAUAUGUGUAUUAACACGGCGCACUGUGACUUUACGUUCGUUUUCGAGAGUCAUCGGAUAAAAGUCAAAAAGUUCAAAGGCAAAUGCGUGGAUUGAGCCGAAGACUAAUGGAAGAAUAGUGUGGUCGUUGUUUUUAAGACCACGCGUUUGCUCGUAUAAAGCUAAUUUUCAUAAACAGAAAAAAAAACAAAGAAUCUGUCUCAUCGACGUUUCUUUAGUUUUAGUUUUAAAGGUAAUUUUAUUUGUAUUUAGCGCGAAUAACGCUCUAGUCAAUAAAAUUACAAAUAAAGAAAAAGAUUUAGUAAUUUCAUUCACAUUUAAUAUCAUCUGUGGGAUGUUCGCGAAGCGUCCUAUAAGAUUAGUAAGAAAAAUAAAAUUAACACCGCGAAAAAAAAUUAUACUCUGUCGUCAUUGUCAUUAAUUUUUUCAUUAACGUACUGAACCGCGAACGUUUCUGCAGAUUUUGAUGCGUUCUCUGUAUUUUCUCAUUUGCCUUUGACAUGUGAGCGACUCGUCAUUUGUAAACUACCUCGACUACUUGCAAGCAGUCAAUAUAUAUUUACGCUAUGCUUUGUUUUAGCAAUACCGCUUUGUGGAAGAGACACGAUCGCGAGCGCUGGUGCAUUGAGUGCACUUUCUUUUCUCAAUUCAUUCUGUUGAAAAAUAUUUCCAUAUUAAAAUCUAUUCGAACAGAAUUUGUUUAAAUUUUUUCGUCAUAUUUAAUAAAAUUCCAUUUGAAUGUUUUAAAGAAAAUAAAAAGGGACAUGUCAUUUUCUUUUGGACAUUAAACAUUGAACAAUAUUACUUUAUGCACUAGCGUGAUCGUUCGAAUCGUCAUAAUAUCGCUUACGAAACUAUUUAAUUAGUUACCAUCUAAGGAACACGAAUUUGUCAAACAGCGUUGGUCACGAGAUUGCGUUCAGGCUAAUGAUUAGAAUUCACUGAAGUGAUACGGGUUUUAAACUUAGACAUGAAUCCUGAUGCACGAUCCUCGGGUCAGUCUGUGUUUCGUAAACAUAAUCCUUACCAAAGUUAAAUACGAGAUGCAUAUGUUUUCGCACUUUUAUUCGCAUGCUGUACAUUUAACAUUUGCAUAAACAUCUUUUUAUACGCUCGUAGAUUUUUUAAAGACGAGUGCAGAUCAUGAUUGCGCUUUCAACUGAAAAUACGUUAAUUAAUUUAUCUCUUUCGUUGCAUUUAAUAAAUGCUAAGUAUUUUUAUUCCAAGCUGUUUUUGAUCGUGUAUCUUUGAAAGUUUUAAGAGCGAAAGGAAAGUAAAACAAAAACUUACAUCGAAAAGAGAAAAACUUUAAUCAAGAUUACACAAUAUUCUCAAAAUGAGAGGAGCUCUAAAAAAGGGCUGGUUGAUUUGAUCACACAUAUAUACACACACAAUAUUCCCAACUAUAUAUAUAUAUCUUUUUUUAUCCAAAAGUUCCAUUUAAUAUCAUCAAUUUUGAAAUAUAUGAUCAAAAUAUAUCUCCUAUUUUGAGGCGAUUGUGUUCUAUUAAUGCGUGAAAUAUUACACAAUUUAUGUUCGUGCAUAUAUAUGUGUAACAGGUUUGUCCCGUUGCAUGUGUGUGUCUCUAGUUUCUACGCUUUCUUCACACGAUACCAAAUACGCAUAAUGUGUUUUUGAAGAAAGAGAAUGAGUGAGAGAAUGAAUGAAAGCGAGAGAGAAAGAGAGAGAUGAAGAGAGAUACAAUAAAAGUGUAGAAACAUGUGCGACACGAAUAAAAAAAUUAAACCGAAUAAUUUAUUGUCUCGGACUCUCUUUUGAGUUUGAAUCGUGUCAUGGCGAAAGAGUUAAAGAGUAAAAUCUACGUGAAUCGAGCGUGCAAUUAAUAUAAAUGCCAUUGCGCUAUUAUUUUCACCGUAGCAUCAAUUAAUCGCGAUACGAUAAAGAGCUAGGGAAAUAAUUAUCUAUUAUACAUGGUAUACAUUAAGAAGCUUCUAGUUUCCGUAUACUGUUAUUUAACAUUUGCCCCAGCGAAACUUUGGAAAUUGUCAUUCCGUUCAAUUUAAUACUACGUGAAACCUGAAUUAGACGCAAAAUAUAUAAGAAAAAUGAUAAUGUGUAUACAGAACGUGAUUAUUAAGAUGGAACGCUUUCAUUGAAGGGACGCCAAUAACCGAUAAACAAUUUCGACGGCACGUUAAUAAUGCUAGAUUUAACAGAAAGGAAAAAAGGCCCGAUUCGAAGCCUCCACUUAUGAUAUGACAUUUAUAAUAUUGGAAUUUGGUUGGAUAGAUGUUAGCAAUUAAAGAGAGAAUUUUUGCGCUUAGACAAGAUACGGGAGGACAAAUGCACAUAAAUGUAAGGAAUUAUGCAGGAUUAUUAACGUGUUUACUGUCCACACGACACACGAACGUGUCCUGUGAAUAUGUCAUAUGGACGCAUACGAUUCAUGGACGUAUCGCUGAUAAUGUUACCUAUACGUUUAUGAUCACGUAUGUAUUAUUAAUCAAUCUCCGAAAUAAAAACCUUUUUUAGUCAAAUACAAAACUCAAGAUAGAGACUGUGUGAUUGGUAUUCGAGUAAAAAAAACAUAAUGAAUGCGGUGGGCUGUGUAGAGAGCUAAAAUAGAUGGACAGUAAAUGUGUUAAGGAUACGUCGCGUGCGAUAGCGAGAAUGACAAUGCUAUCAAAACUUAAGAAAAUGAAGUAAAUGUAAAAUUAACGCAGAUAGUCGCAAAGUCGCCGGAGAAUGUCCACUACACUUUUGGACGUUUUUCAAACGUCUCUUGGACGAUUUUUGGACUUCUGUGUUGUUUAGGAUGUUAAAGUAAAGACAGAAUACGCUGACAGGCAAUGCGAUUUUCGAUCGUUUUCGAAUCGACUCAUUUCCCAUCCGAUUUAUUUGUAACAGAUGAGAGAAAUAUAGCAUAAACAGAUCGAGAAAAAUGUGAAAAGGAAAGAUCUGUUAAUUUGCGAACUUUCGGCUCGAGUACCUAUACAAUAAUAAAUAAAUAUCACGGAUAAAUAUAGGUCAAUGUAUUUCGACGAAAGAAAUUUCACGCACUGUUAGUUUAAAUUGUUGUAAUAGAAAACACGAAGAAAAAUGACAAGACUUUUCGAAACAAUUUUCGCGACAGAUUUUUAAGGAGGAGAUGAACGUUGCAAGCAUGCUGGCGUGCGCGCGUGGUCGCUGGGUGACUUCAAAUGAAAAAAAAAAAUGCACAUACACACGGCAUAUAUAAACACACGUAUGUACACACACACGUAAAUACAUGAACACGGGGGGUUGCGGGCGACGGUUUGCCAAUUUUCGCGGGGAGCUUUCACGAACGAGCAAUACCCGCACGUGUGUCCUGCGUGUUACGCAGUAAGGAGACCUCUGCUGCCUGCGGAAUCUUUUGUGUAUUAUUUCUAACAGAAUGUAAUAAAGUAAAGUUUAAACAGA